UACGUAGGGUGCGAGCGUUGUCCGGAAUUAUUGGGCGUAAAGAGCUCGUAGGUGGUCCGUCACGUCGGAUGUGAAAACCCGGGGCUCAACCCCGGGCCUGCAUUCGAUACGGGCGGACUAGAGUUCGGUAGGGGAGACUGGAAUUCCUGGUGUAGCGGUGGAAUGCGCAGAUAUCAGGAGGAACACCAGUGGCGAAGGCGGCUCACUGGCCCGGUACUGACGCUGAGAUACGAAAGCGUGGGGAGCAAACAGG
rnacentral:rRNA from 1 species